rnacentral:rRNA from 1 species
UACGUAGGGUGCAAGCGUUAAUCGGAAUUACUGGGCGUAAAGCGUGCGCAGGCGGUUAUAUAAGACAGUUGUGAAAUCCCCGGGCUUAACCUGGGAACUGCAUUUGUGACUGCAUCGCUGGAGUGCGGCAGAGGGGGAUGGAAUUCCGCGUGUAGCAGUGAAAUGCGUAGAUAUGCGGAGGAACACCGAUGGCGAAGGCAAUCCCCUGGGCCUGCACUGACGCUCAUGCACGAAAGCGUGGGGAGCAAACAGG